AUUGAACGCUGGCGGCAGGCCUAACACAUGCAAGUCGAACGAGUGGCGGACGGGUGAGUAAUGUCUGGGAAACUGCCUGAUGGAGGGGGAUAACUACUGGAAACGGUAGCUAAUACCGCCUACAAUACGAUGUGCCCCGAUGGGAUAAGAUAGUAGGUGGGGGAACGGCCUACCUCGGCGCCGAUCCCUCGCUGGUCUGAUAGGAUGACCAGCAACACUGGAGUUGAGACCCGGUCCAGACUCCUACGGGAGGCAGCAGUGGGGAAUAUUGCACAAUGGGCGAAAGCCUGAUGCAGCCAUGCCGCGUGUAUGAAGAAGGCCUUCGGGUUGUAAAGUACUUUCAGCGGGGAGGCGUUACCCGCAGAAGAAGCACCGGCUAACUCCGUGCCAGCAGCCGCGGUAAUUC
rnacentral:rRNA from 1 species